GACAGAGGAGCCAAGCGUUGUCCGGAUUGACUGGGCGUAAAGCGCACGCAGGCGGCUGUGCACGUGGGGUGUGAAAGCGCUCGGCUUAACUGAGCGAGGCCACCUCAUACGGCACGCUCGAGCCCGUGAGAGGUCCACGGAAUUGCCGGUGUAGUGGUGAAAUUCGUAGAUAUCGGGAGGAACACCAGUGGCGAAGGCGGCGCCUGGGCCAAUAUUGACGCUGAGGUGCGAAAGCGUGGGGAGCAAACAGG
rnacentral:rRNA from 1 species